GACGAACGCUGGCGGCGUGCUUAACACAUGCAUGUCGAACGGAAAGGCCCUGCUUUUGUGGGUUUCUCGAGUGCCGAACGGGUGUGUAACACGUGUGUAACCUGCCCUUGACUUUGUGAUAACUUCAGGAAACUGGGGCUCUUACCGGAUAUGAUCUCCUGCUGCAUGGUGGGCGUUGGAAAGUUUCGGCGGUUGGGGAUGGACUCGCUGCUUAUCAGCUUGUUGGUGGGGUAGUUGCUUACCAAGGCUUUGACGGGUAGCCGGCCUGAGAGGUGGACCGGGGACAUUGGGACUGAGAGACGGCCCAGACGCCUACGGGAGGCAGCAGUGGGGAAUAUUGCACAAUGGGCGGAAGCCUGAUGCAGAAACGCUGCGUGCGGGAUGACGGGCUUCGGGUUGUAAACAGAUGUCGACUGUGACGAAGCGUGAGUGACGGUAAUGGGUAAAGAAGCACCGGCUAACUACGUG
rnacentral:rRNA from 1 species